UACGUAGGGCGCAAGCGUUGUCCGGAAUUAUUGGGCGUAAAGAGCUCGUAGGCGGUUUGUCGCGUCUGCUGUGAAAACCUAAGGCUCAACCUUGGGCUUGCAGUGGGUACGGGCAGACUAGAGUGCGGUAGGGGUGACUGGAAUUCCUGGUGUAGCGGUGGAAUGCGCAGAUAUCAGGAGGAACACCGAUGGCGAAGGCAGGUCACUGGGCCGCAACUGACGCUGAGGAGCGAAAGCAUGGGGAGCAAACGGG
rnacentral:rRNA from 1 species